UCUGAGUCUGUAAAAAGAAACUGAAAGCAGUGUCUGUAAACUUGUCUGCUUACCUGAGCUGAAAUGAAACUGUGAAUCUGCUGUUGCCUCAGCUCAGGUGUGUAAACAGAGACCAAUCAGCCACUGGGGCUGCUUCAUCCCUCCAUUGUUGCCGAGUGGCUGUGGGGCUUCAGCCUGCAACAUCCCCAGGACAGGACUCACCUGCCUGGUGAGGGACGAGACCAUCUCCAGCAACAGAAUGGCGGCCUCUGCACAUAAGCCAGUUUUGACUACCAUCUCUGUGUGAUGGUGGCACAGCAGCCACUCGAAUGUUGCACCCAAACCUGCCUGGAAAAUGAACAUCUCAUGAAACUGCCGAAAGGAUUAGCUUUACCACACUGCUAAAUGACAAUGCAGGAUGUCCAGGUGGCUCCUCUUGAAACAAUCAGGCCUGCGUUCAGCAAUACCUCCAAAAUGGUCAUCAGGUUAAAACAUGAUAUCUACUUCUAAAUUCUAUCCAAAAUAUGGGCAAAGGUGGGAACCUGAAUCAAGAUACUGUGAUGCAAAUUCUUGUGACACUAAAAUAAGUAAAUCAGGAGCAGAACUUGCAUCUUCAUAUCACAACACACAUUUGAGAAAAGCUCCUUUGAUGUGGAUAGCCAAAAUAAAAAACACUGCUCAA